rnacentral:rRNA from 1 species
CCUACGGGUGGCAGCAGUGGGGAAUAUUGGACAAUGGGCGAAAGCCUGAUCCAGCCAUGCCGCGUGUGUGAAGAAGGCCUUCGGGUUGUAAAGCACUUUCAAUGGGGAAGAAAGCCUUGGGGCUAAUACCCUCGAGGAAGGACAUCACCCACAGAAGAAGCACCGACUAACUCCGUGCCAGCAGCCGCGGUAAUACGGAGGGUGCGAGCGUUAAUCGGAAUUACUGGGCGUAAAGCGCGCGUAGGCGGUCUGAUAAGCCGGUUGUGAAAGCCCCGGGCUCAACCUGGGAACGGCAUCCGGAACUGUCAGGCUAGAGUGCAGGAGAGGAAGGUAGAAUUCCCGGUGUAGCGGUGAAAUGCGUAGAGAUCGGGAGGAAUACCAGUGGCGAAGGCGGCCUUCUGGACUGACACUGACGCUGAGGUGCGAAAGCGUGGGUAGCAAACAGGAUUAGAUACCCCAGUAGUC